GCUGGAUCUUCAUUAAUCAUCUCGAUUCAAAAUAAAAAAUGGACUCUGACGUGUGUGUGUGUGUGAUGAAUCCCUCAAUCUCGUACAAACGUGCGGGUUAUGUGAAACGAUCUGCGAGCAAGCAGAUAUUGCGAAUCAUGCUUGUUUAAAAGAUUAUACAUAAUACAUAACUGAACCUGAUACAUUAUAUUUUUAUCCUUUAUUAGAUGAUGGAGUGACCGUAAUAAAAAGCAGAGUGCCAAGCAUAAACAAAAAUAAAUAGUAACAACGCAAUCACACAAGAAAAAUAUAGGAUUUGAUUCGCCUCUUGAACCAAACAUUCACUGGACAAAAAAUUUUGAACAAAUAUCGAGAUUAAAAAAUCUUCCAUGAAAUAUUCGAAAAACUUUAAUGGAUGCUCCGUGGGGAGAAACAUUCUCAAUCACUGGCAACUAAGUGUUGAAGAUUGCAAGAAUUUAGGCACAACUCAGGAAGUGUUAAAAACAUAUUUGAUAAGUAUCCAGUUUUAAAACAAUCUUGUGGAUAUGAGUUGAUUAAAAGCGAUUUUACGUACGAGAAAGGAAAAAAAGGAGUGUUAUAUACUAAGUGACCAGAAUUGUUUAAAAAAUUUCACGCUUUAAUGAAAAUAAAAAUAAAAGACAAUGCUG